ACGGAGGGUGCAAGCGUUAUCCGGAAUUACUGGGUUUAAAGGGUGCGUAGGCGGCAACGUAAGUCAGAAGUGAAAGCUCUCGGCUCAACUGAGGAAUUGCUUUUGAUACUGCGUAGCUUGAAUAAGGUUGAGGUUAGCGGAAUGUGGCAUGUAGCGGUGAAAUGCAUAGAUAUGCCAUAGAACACCAAUUGCGAAGGCAGCUGGCUAGACCUUUAUUGACGCUGAGGCACGAAAGCGUGGGGAGCGAACAGG
rnacentral:rRNA from 1 species